GGCUUCAUGGUCUAGUGGUAUGAUUCCUGCUUCGGGAAAACACCUGAAGUCCCCGAUUCUUCAGAAUCGCCUUUGCAGGAGGCCCCGGGUUCGAAUCCCGGUGAAGCCC
rfam:Trichoderma reesei QM6a unplaced genomic scaffold TRIREscaffold_2, whole genome shotgun sequence.